AAACGUUCAGAGAUGCAGUAAAAGGAAGAUGUGGAAUUGCCCAGGGGGAGAGGAACCAGAGGCAGUGAAGCCACGAUGCUGUAACCGAGGGCACUGGACUUUGUGAAUCUUUCCUAAACAAAGCAGUGGCCAAAAAAGUCCCACCUGCGGCUCUGCCACCGGGUACGCCCUGCAGGUGGGGUGGCCAAGGGAUGCGUUAACCAAAGCAGGACAUUUCUGAGAGGGAGCCGGGGUCCCUGCCGUGGUGAGCCGGCGCCAUGGCGUGAGCACGUGGAGUCCCUGUUGCUGCCGUGAGAGACCCGCUUACCGUUCCUCCUACGAACUCAGACGCCAUGUCAGUCAGCUGGGUGAAGUGCGGAGGCCCGGCCCGCUUCCCUUCCGGGGAGAAUCAGCCAUGCUCCCUGCAACGAGAUGGCGGGCACGGUCAGCCUCUGGGGGCAGAGCCCUGCCGGCACGGUCGCCCCGCCCCGGAGCCCGCGGUGCCCCCGUUCCCACCCUUUCUCCCUACCCUUCACGGCGGAUAGAGACAACGGAAAAAGUGGUGUCUCAGACUAUGCUACAUUUCCACCAGCAACGUGCGAGGGCUCCCAUCUCCCACAUCCUCGCCAGCAGCUGGUGCUGUCCGUCUGGUUUAACGGCCUUCCCGUGGGUGUGUGCCGGGGUCUCACUGCGACUUAAAGCUGCACUCCCCUCGUGACUAAUGACGUGGACUACAUUUUUGUGUGCUUAUUAGCCACUUGUGUAUCUUCUUCAAUGUAAUGCCUAUUCAAAUAUUUUGCCCUAUUUUUAAUUAAAUUUUCUGGUAUUUUAAAAAAUAAUCAAAAUGGUCUUAUACUUUGACAACAGGAAACUACUACAUAGCCUGGAUAAAAUUCAAACCUGUAUAAUUUGAGACUUUUUCAGCCAAGAUAAUUAAUGCUUUCCAUUCAUGUGGUAUGGUUUGCUUAAAGCAGAUGAAGGUUGGCUUUGACAAUAAAACUGUAUAAAGGAAAAAAAAUGUUACCUCAGGGAGGUGGGUGUAACUGAGUUGUAGAGCAGGUGCUUACCGAGCACGAGGUCCUGGGUUCAGUCCACAGCACCUCCACU